rnacentral:rRNA from 1 species
GAUGAACGCUGGCGGCGUGCCUAAUACAUGCCAGUCGAGCGAACGGACGAGAAGCUUGCUUCUCUGAUGUUAGCGGCGGACGGGUGAGUAACACGUGGAUAACCUACCUAUAAGACUGGGAUAACUUCGGGAAACCGGAGCUAAUACCGGAUGAUAUUUUGAACCGCAUGGUUCAAAAGUGGAAGACGGUCUUGCUGUCACUUAUAGAUGGAUCCGCGCUGCAUUAGCUAGUUGGUAAGGUAACGGCUUACCAAGGCAACGAUGCAUAGCCGACCUGAGAGGGUGAUCGGCCACACUGGAACUGAGACACGGUCCAGACUCCUACGGGAGGCAGCAGUAGGGAAUCUUCCGCAAUGGGCGAAAGCCUGACGGAGCAACGCCGCGUGAGUGAUGAAGGUCUUCGGAUCGUAAAACUCUGUUAUUAGGGAAGAACAUAUGUGUAAGUAACUGUGCACAUCUUGACGGUACCUAAUCAGAAAGCCACGGCUAACUACGUG